UACGUAGGCAGCAAGCGUUGUUCGGAGUUACUGGGCGUAAAGGGUGUGUAGGCGGCCCCCUAAGUUUGGUGUGAAAUCUCCCGGCUCAACCGGGAGGGUGCGCCGAAGACUGGAGGGCUAGAGUGCGGGAUGGGAGAGUGGAAUUCCUGGUGUAGCGGUGAAAUGCGUAGAUAUCAGGAGGAACACCUGUGGUGUAGACGGCUCUCUGGACCGCAACUGACGCUGAAACACGAAAGCGUGGGUAGCAAACAGG
rnacentral:rRNA from 1 species